rnacentral:rRNA from 1 species
CCGCCGUAAACUAUGCGCGUUAGGUGUAUCGGUGACCACGAGUCACCGAGGUGCCGAAGGGAAACCGUGAAACGUGCCGCCUGGGAAGUACGGUCGCAAGGCUGAAACUUAAAGGAAUUGGCGGGGGAGCACCACAACAGGUGGAGCCUGCGGUUUAAUUGGACUCAACGCCGGGAAGCUCACCGGAUAGGACAGCAGAAUGAUUGCCGGGCUGAAGACCCUGCAUGACUAGCUGAGAGGAGGUGCAUGGCGUAGACGUCU